CAGCAGGCGCGCAAAUUACCCAAUCCCGACACGGGGAGGUAGUGACAAAAAAUAACAAUACCGGUCUUAUUUAAGUCUGGUAAUUGGAAUGAGUACAAUCUAAAACCUUUAACGAGUAUCAAUUGGAGGGCAAGUCUGGUGCCAGCAGCCGCGGUAAUUCCAGCUCCAAUAGCAUAUAUUAAAGUUGUUGCAGUUAAAAAGCUCGUAGUUGGAUUUUGAUGUUAUUUAUUAUGACCCGCCU
rnacentral:rRNA from 1 species